rnacentral:lncRNA from 11 species
ACUGCAGUACAGCUUGAAGGCCCAUGAGCAUAAUUGAAAAUGGUAAUGUGAUUUGCAUUGUCUGGCAGGUUGGAGACCCACACUCCAACCAAUGUUCUCCAUGGGGAUACAAGGCUCUUGUUGUACAUAUAUAAAUUGUUAUCUCUCCUUUUAAUCAGUGGCAUCAUGAAAAGAGGUUGAAAUUAUAUUGUUUGAAGCUGUUAAGAUCACUUAACAGAUGGGAAGAGAACUUUUUUCAGUGUAUGGAAAUAAUAUUAAACCAUUUGGGAAGAUGACACUAUCUUUACAGUGCAAUUAUUUUCAACAGGUAAACCCUGAAUGCAGAGCUCAGGGUGAAAGUGUGUUGCCGCAAAGCCAGACAGAGACUUCAGCACCUGGAGCAGCACUGUUAACAUUGCUGUUAACAUAAGAAGAGAACCAAGGAUCAUUUUCUAUCACAUACAUGUCCAACACAGGCACCCUAGUUUGGCUGGAUCAAGACAAAGUUCAUGAUUAAAUGGUACUUAUGGUGUGUUUUCUCUGAUCACAUCACAUGAAAAUCGGAGUAAAAUAAUUCCCUGAUAUCUGAAAAUUAAUUUGGUUGAGAGCAAAAAGAUGGUUGAAAUUCCUGUAUGGAAAGAAGAGUGGCGGCCUGGCUGUCCUUUGGAUUCACUUGUGAAAGAGGACAGAAUAAAGAAUGAACACAUCAAAAUAGAAGAAAAUCUUUCAGUGGCAACAGACUCUAAAGAUGGGUUUGCCUGGAUCAGCUCUUUAUGUCUCAGGAAUAAAAAUGGAUCCAAUGCAAUUUACAGAGCAGUUUUUUAUUUGAUGGUUGGAAGCAUGAUUCUUAAUUUCAUUCUCAUCAUUUUAUUAUCUGCACUAGUGAGAAGAGAUAAAAGAGAAGAAGGUCCUCUUCUCUCCCCUGGUGAUCUUUGUCCAAGCGGCUGGAUUGAGUUCCAAAGAAAAUGCUACUACUUUUCAGAGGAUGAAGGAAACUGGGCAUCUAGUAGCCUCUAUUGUUCCUCACACAAUGCCUCUCUGGCUGUGAUUGACUCCCAAGAAGAGAUGGUGAGUUCAGGAGAUGAGACCCAUUCAUCAUCAUUGGGCGAUCCCUAGUGGGAUCCCUAGUGGGUGGGUACAAUUGCCUUCCAUGUGUUGGGUCUUGGCAGUUGGGUCUUGUAGUUGACUGCAGAGGACCUGUUCUUGAUCUGCAUGUUCUUUUGUAAUGAAUACAUCAGUUUCCAGAUGGAAGGCGGUCCCUACAAGAGUUAGCUUGACACAACGUGUUUCUAUCUUUCACCCUCCAUUUGUGCCGACAGAUGACCAUCCAGCUUGUAUUUAAAAACCUCCAAAGAAAGAGACUCCACCACACUCUGAGGCAGUGUAUUUCAUUAUCAAACACCUCUUGCCAUCAAAAAGUUUUCCCAAAUGUUUAUGCAGAAUCUGUUUCUCCACAGUUUGAAUCCCUUGCUGCAUGUUCUAGGAGAAAUCCAGCUUUUGUUUUUCAAUUUUAUCAAUAGGUUUUGUGUGGAAGGUUUUUAUUAUACAUGAGCUCCGCUUAUCCAGAAUUCCUAAAUCCAAAAUACUGCAAAAUUGUCCACGUGGCAUGAGCUUUCUGAUGAUUAAGUUUUCAUAAACUUUAUUUCAUAUACUACAAAAUUAUUAAAUAUAUUGUGUAUAAAUUUAAAUUCUAUC